GUGCGUGUGCAAAAGAAAGAUUAGAUAUUUACAUAACAUUAAAAGAUCUUUAUAUGUUGAAUCUUAAAUGUUCAUUAUCGCGGGGAUUUGUUAUUGUGAAAGAACUUGAGCAACUUGAGCGCCAACUUGAAUUUACUUUGAGUCAAAUUUGGUGCAUAAGGGUAUGUUUAGUGUGUUUCUACUAGCUAUAUAAUCUGAGGAGGUGUUUGAAUGAUUCAUCUCGGAUAUGGAUGGCGGGGAUUUGAUUGGAGUAUCGGCGAUAGUUCAGUCAAACUCCGAAGUAGAACAGAAUGAACAGACAAUAAUGAAUAGACAAUGGUUGGAUGAAAAUGGGUUUGAAUCGCGAGUAAAAGGAAGGGGCUUUUUGAUUCGCGGGGUGGGCAACACAAGUUCUGAUCCUAUCGCACCGAGCCGCAGGUAUUAAAGUGUACAAGAUGCAGCUUUUAGAGGGCUUGAAGGAUGUUAGAGGCUGGCGUGAUCAAGAUGUGUGAAAACAAAGGAAAAUGAAGGAACUAGGAGCA